GACGAACGCUGGCGGCGUGCUUAACACAUGCAAGUCGAACGGAAAGGCCCUGCUUUUGUGGGGUGCUCGAGUGGCGAACGGGUGAGUAACACGUGAGUAACCUGCCCUUGACUUUGUGAUAACUUCAGGAAACUGGGGCUAAUACCGGAUAGGAGCUCCUGCUGCAUGGUGGGGGUUGGAAAGUUUCGGCGGUUGGGGAUGGACUCGCGGCUUAUCAGCUUGUUGGUGGGGUUGUGGCUUACCAAGGCUUUCAUCGGUAGCCGGCCUGAGAGGGUGACCGGCCACAUUGGGACUGAGAUACGGCCCAGACUCCUACGGGAGGCAGCAGUGGGGAAUAUUGCACAAUGGGCGGAAGCCUGAUGCAGCAACGCCGCGUGCGGGAUGACGGCCUUCGGGUUGUAAACCGCUUUCGCCUGUGACGAAGCGUGAGUGACGGUAAUGGGUAAAGAAGCACCGGCUAACUACGUG
rnacentral:rRNA from 1 species